AGCAGCCGCGGUAAUUCCAGCUCCAAUAGCGUAUAUUAAAGUUGUUGCAGUUAAAAAGCUCGUAGUUGAAUUUCGGGGUUAGUAGGUUGGUCAUGCCUCUGGUAUGUACUGGUCUCACUGAUUCCUCCUUCCUGAUGAGCCGUAAUGCCAUUAAUUUGGUGUUGCGGGGAAUUUGGACUGUUACUUUGAAAAAAUUAGAGUGUUUAAAGCAAGCUAACGCUUGAAUACAUUAGCAUGGAAUAAUGAAAUAGGACGUUCGAUCCUAUUUUGUUGGUUUCUAGGAUUGACGUAAUGAUUAAUAGGGAUAGUUGGGGGCAUUAGUAUUCAAUUGUCAGAGGUGAAAUUCUUGGAUUUAUUGAAGACUAACUACUGCGAAAGCAUUUGCCAAGGAUGUUUUCAUUAAUCAAGACGAAAGUUAGGGGGUCGAAGGACGAUCAGAUACCGUCGUAGUCUUAACCAUAAACUAUGCCGACUAGGGAUCGGAUGAUGUUAAUUUUUAAUGACUCAUUCGGCGCCUUAA
rnacentral:rRNA from 1 species